GACGAACGCUGGCGGCGUGCUUAACACAUGCAAGUCGAACGGAAAGGCCCUGCUUUUGUGGGGUGCUCGAGUGGCGAACGGGUGAGAAACACGUGAGUAACCUGCCCUGGACUUUGGGAUAACUUCAGGAAACUGGGGCUAAUACCGGAUAGGAGCUCCUGCUGCAUGGUGGGGGUUGGAAAGUUUCGGCGGUUGGGGGUGGACUCGCGGCUUAUCAGCUUGUUGGGGGGGUAGUGGUUUACCCAGGGUUUGACGGGUAGCCGGCCUGAGAGGGUGACCGGCCACAUUGGGACUGAGAGACGGCCCAGACUCGUAUGGGAGGCAACAGUGGGGAAUAUUGCACAGUGGGCGGAAGCCUGAUGAAGCAACGCCGCGUGCGGGAUGACGGCCUUCGUGUUGGAAACCGCAGUCGCCUGUGACGAAGCGUGAGUGACGGUAAUGGGUAAAGAAGCACCGGCUAACUACGUG
rnacentral:rRNA from 1 species